UCCUAGUUAAUAGAAGUAGCUCGAGAAGUUUCUAAAACCUUCUAGAAAGGAAGUCUCUGGAACCUUCUAGAAGCUUCCUAGUUAAUAAAAAUAGCUCGAGAAGCUUCCUAAGUAGGCGUAUAUAUAGGGAACGCGGCUGAAGAGUUCUUCAGUCUCGACAACACAUCUCUUGGAGUUCUAGCUCACCUAUCUGGUGUUGUUCUUGUACUCAUCUGUUUAAUCUAGUUCUGCCACUUCUUCUUGAACUUCUUGUUAGAUUUCAAGUCUGUAUUUUGUGUCCGUGACAGUUUGUCGAGACUGAAGAACUCUUCAGCCUCGAUCCCUAUAUAUACUCCUACUUAGGAAGCUUCUCGAGCUACUUCUAUUAACUAGGAAGCUUCUAGAAGGUUCCAGAGACUUCCUUUCUAGAAGGUUCUAGAAACUUCUCGAGCUACUUCUAUUAACUACGAAGCUUCUAGAAAGUUCCAGAGGAUUCCUUUUUAGAAGCUUCUAGAAACUUCUCUUCUGGAAGGUUCCAGAGACUUCUUUUCUAGAAGCUUCUAGAAACUUCUCUCUAAAAGGUUCCAGAGGCUUCUCUUCUAAAAGGUUCUAGAAGCUUGUUUUCUAAAAGGUUCUAGAAACUUCUCUCUAGAAAGUUCUAAGGAAUAUGUUCCUAACAGAAAGAGUUUUGCAACUUAUAGAAUUUUUAGAUUUAAGAAGUGAUGAUUAGGA
rnacentral:lncRNA from 1 species